rnacentral:rRNA from 1 species
UACGGGGGGGGCAAGCGUUGUUCGGAAUUACUGGGCGUAAAGGGCGUGAAGGCGGCCAACUAAGUCAGACGUGAAAUCCCCAGGCUCAACCUGGGAACUGCGUCUGAUACUGGAUGGCUUGAAUUCGGGAGAGGGAUGCAGAAUUCCAGGUGUAGCGGUGAAAUGCGUAGAUAUCUGGAGGAAUACCGGUGGCGAAGGCGGCAUCCUGGACCGACAUUGACGCUGUAGCGCGAAAGCUAGGGGAGCAAACGGG